CACGAACGCUGGCGGCGUGCUUAACACAUGCAAGUCGAACGAUGAAGCCUAGCUUGCUAGGUGGAUUAGUGGCGAACGGGUGAGUAAUACGUGAGUGACCUACCUUUGACUCUGGGAUAAGCCUGGGAAACUGGGUCUAAUACCGGAUACGACCAAUCUCCGCAUGGGGUGUUGGUGGAAAGCGUUAUGGAGUGGUUUUAGAUGGGCUCACGGCCUAUCAGCUUGUUGGUGAGGUAAUGGCUUACCAAGGCGACGACGGGUAGCCGGCCUGAGAGGGUGACCGGCCACACUGGGACUGAGACACGGCCCAGACUCCUACGGGAGGCAGCAGUGGGGAAUAUUGCACAAUGGGCGCAAGCCUGAUGCAGCGACGCCGCGUGAGGGAUGACGGCCUUCGGGUUGUAAACCUCUGUUAGCAUCGAAGAAGCGAAAGUGACGGUAGGUGCAGAGAAAGCGCCGGCUAACUACGUG
rnacentral:rRNA from 1 species